AGGCUCUGUGAACUAAGUGACUGAAGCUGAUUGACACAGGUCAAGGGGACUUCAAGGAAGAAAGCCAGCCUUAGACUGACAUCAGAGAACCAAACUCCGGUGUCUAAGCUCAAGAGGUUAGAAUCCUGAGAACUGUUUGGAAUAAGGAAUCCAAAUAUUGUCUUCCAGCUUCACCUUGUCACGACAGUCCUCGCCAGGGACAGCUGAGCAUCUACAUCUCCAUUUAUGCCGUGUGCACGCAGUACCAACAGAGGUCAGAGGAGGGUGUCGGAUCCCCUGGAACUGGAGUCACAGAUUCUUGGGAGCAUAUCCAAUACUCUGUGACUGCCUAGGCGUCUCUCUCAGUCUAGUCUACAGCUGACAAGAUUAAUCAUGGCAGGUGCCAACAUCUAACUAAUGAUGCCUUGCGUGGAUGAAACAGUCCCAACGAACACUUUAAAAAGACAAAUGUUCCCGACAGCACUGGUUGAAUUCAAAACUCGGCAGAUCCAUGUUCUUAUCCUUAGACAAGAGAGGGGCCAUAACAAGAUGGAAUGACGGAACAGACGUGAGAGAUGAUGGUACAGUGACUCGGGUAACCCCAGAAAAGGGACAGCUCUUCUACAGCUCAGUGGGGACAGGGACAAAAAGAAACAAUUUCAUUUCAGUCCACCCAGAGGGUCUGCACUUCUCGGAGCCAGAAGGUGGAGAAGAGUAGGGAUGGAGGAAGUUCGAAGUUUUAGGAGUCUGCUCUUGGGUCCCUAGGCAUGAGGACAAGCUUUUCCUGUACUCAAUGCUCAUCUCUCAGUUGUGCCCACAUUGGUACACAUUACUUGCUUUCAACUGCUGCUGCUGCUGUUUCCUAAUUCAAUAAAGAUAUGGCUGGCUCAGCAGAGAGCUGUCAUCCA
rnacentral:lncRNA from 1 species